UCCAUGCCACUAAAUAAUUGGUUGCGGA
rnacentral:sRNA from 1 species